AGAGUUUGAUCCUGGCUCAGGAUGAACGCUGGCGGCGUGCCUAACACAUGCAAGUCGAGCGGCAGCGAGUUUUACACUAAGUUCUGGAAGAAAUUCGAGAAUUUUGUGUAAAAUGUCGGCGAGCGGCGGACGGCUGAGUAACGCGUGGGAACAUACCCCAAAGUGAGGGAUAACUGCCCGAAAGGGUGGCUAAUACCGCAUAUGAUCUUCGGAUUAAAGCAUUUAUGCGCUUUGUGAAUGGCCUGCGUCGGAUUAGGUAGUUGGUGAGGUAAAGGCUCACCAAGCCGACGAUCCGUAGCUGGUCUGAGAGGAUGACCAGCCAGACUGGAACUGAGACACGGUCCAGACUCCUACGGGAGGCAGCAGUGAGGAAUCUUCCACAAUGGGCGAAAGCCUGAUGGAGCAACGCCGCGUGCAGGAUGAAGGCCUUCGGGUUGUAAACUGCUUUUAUGAUUGAGGAAUUUGACAGUAGAUCAUGAAUAAGGAUCGGCUAACUACGUGCCAGCAGCCGCGGUCAUACGUAGGAUCCGAGCGUUAUCCGGAGUGACUGGGCGUAAAGAGUUGCGUAGGCGGUUUGUUAAGUGAAUAGUGAAAUCUGGUGGCUCAACCAUGCAGGCUAUUAUUCAAACUGGCAAACUCGAGAGUGGUAGAGGUCACUGGAAUUUCUUGUGUAGGAGUGAAAUCCGUAGAUAUAAGAAGGAACACCGAUGGCGUAGGUAGGUGACUGGACCAUUUCUGACGCUAAGGCACGAAAGCGUGGGGAGCGAACCGGAUUAGAUACCCGGGUAGUCCACGCCGUAAACGAUGGAUACUGGCUGUUGGAGGUAUCGACCCCUUCAGUAGCGAAGCUAACGCGUUAAGUAUCCCGCCUGUGGAGUACGGUCGCAAGACUAAAACAUAAAGGAAUUGACGGGGACCCGCACAAGCGGUGGAUCGUGUUCUUUAAUUCGAUGCUAAACGAAGAACCUUACCAGGGCUUGACAUCCAGGGAAUUUUUGGGAAACCAAUUAGUGCCUUUUGGAACCCUGUGACAGGUGAUGCAUGGCCGUCGUCAGCUCGUGUCGUGAGAUGUUUGGUUAAGUCCAUCAACGAGCGCAACCCUUGCAACUAGUUGGAUUUUUCUAGUUGGACUGCUUCGGUAACGGAGAGGAAGGAGGGGAUGAUGUCAGGUC
rnacentral:rRNA from 1 species